UCCCUGAUGGUCCAGUGGUUAAGCAUCUGCUUUCCAACACAGGGGAUGCAGGUUUGAUGCCUGUUCAGGGAA
rnacentral:tRNA from 1 species